AACGAACGCUGGCGGCAUGCCUAACACAUGCAAGUCGAACGAAGUCUUCGGACUUAGUGGCGCACGGGUGCGUAACGCGUGGGAAUCUGCCCUUGGGUGCGGAAUAACUUCUCGAAAGGGAUGCUAAUACCGCAUAAUGUCGUAAGACCAAAGAUUUAUCGCCCAAGGAUGAGCCCGCGUAAGAUUAGCUAGUUGGUGGGGUAAAAGCCUACCAAGGCGACGAUCUUUAGCUGGUCUGAGAGGAUGAUCAGCCACACUGGGACUGAGACACGGCCCAGACUCCUACGGGAGGCAGCAGUGGGGAAUAUUGGACAAUGGGCGAAGCCUGAUCCAGCAAUGCCGCGUGAGUGAUGAAGG
rnacentral:rRNA from 1 species